rnacentral:rRNA from 1 species
CCUACGGGGGGCAGCAGUGGGGAAUAUUGCACAAUGGGCGCAAGCCUGAUGCAGCCAUGCCGCGUGUGUGAAGAAGGCCUUCGGGUUGUAAAGCACUUUCAGCGGGGAGGAAGGCGGUGAGGUUAAUAACCUCAUCGAUUGACGUUACCCGCAGAAGAAGCACCGGCUAACUCCGUGCCAGCAGCCGCGGUAAUACGGAGGUGCAAGCGUUAAUCGGAAUUACUGGGCGUAAAGCGCACGCAGGCGGUCUGUCAAGUCGGAUGUGAAAUCCCCGGGCUCAACCUGGGAACUGCAUUCGAAACUGGCAGGCUAGAGUCUUGUAGAGGGGGGUAGAAUUCCAGGUGUAGCGGUGAAAUGCGUAGAGAUCUGGAGGAAUACCGGUGGCGAAGGCGGCCCCCUGGACAAAGACUGACGCUCAGGUGCGAAAGCGUGGGGAGCAAACAGGAUUAGAUACCCGGGUAGUC